AUCACAUCUCCCACCUCCUUUUCAGAAUUCUUCAAAGAGGUCUAAAAAUCUCAGGCUAGCUUUAAGGCUCCCAAAUGUCUACUGAAAUCACUGAAAAUAACUUUUACAAAGAAGGCUGAGACCUUGAAGUUUGCCUGUCUUAUCAUGUACCUCCCAGGACUUUGGGACCAUCUCAACACAAGAAGAGACUGUGGACUAUGGAAAUACUCAACAGAGUAACACAUAUGGAAGAAUUGUUUUAUUCAUACCAAAAAGGAUCUGAAAGAAGCUAUUUUAGUUUAUCCAGUUGUCUCCAUCUCAUCCACUGCCAGAGUAUACUUUCAUCCUCCAAACAAAAGUUUCAUUCGACCUUAUAACAACUCCUCCAUUUACUAGAAAAGCCACUCAGUGAUGUUUCAGAAGUACAUUUUAUGAAGACUGUUUCAACUUCGGAUGAUGGCAUCUGAGUCUUAUAAGGAAAGCAAAGCUUCUAUCUGGGGGACAUUUACUUUGCAUACUGCUCUUCAUGGGACUGGCCACACUUGAGGAAUCUAGGCACUAACUGGUCUCUUGUAUAUAGAA